rnacentral:lncRNA from 1 species
GGACUCCUCCUCUGGUCAUGGAUGGUAGUUGGUUGGCUUCGACCCUCCGUUCCUCUUCAAGCAGUGGGUGUGACAGCCUGAUUUUUGGCCCUUUCUUUUUCUUUUGUUUUUCUAAGGUUUUUGCCUAAGAUUUCCUUUUUCCGUGGCUAUGUGAUCUGGAAACGGAAGAAGAUGAACUCUUCUUUGCUUCCAGAGUGCUUUGUCAUACCCAAAUCCUUCCCUAGACCCUGUCAUUUUCAUCCUAGCCCAAAUCCCAAUAUUCUUUUUAUUGGGAAUAUUCCUUUUCUAUUAAAGGAAUAACUCAAAUUGCCCUAGGUUGUGAAGCAACCUUUAUUUCCAUCACUCCUAAAAUUCCCAAAUAAUUCUUAUAAAUUGUUUGGGUAAUAUCUUUCUCAAAUAUGGCAAAAUAUUUCAUUUGUCAUGUCUAUCAUCAUGCUCAAAUAAUUCAUUUCCUAUUCUGCCCUAAAUGGCACAUUGUGAACCAAGUGUUAUCUUCAUUUUCCCAAUUGACCUCAAACUCCUUGGACACCUUUUCCUAUCCAUAUCAUUGCCUCAUGCCAAAAUGCAACCUCAUUUGCCUCAUAAUUAUUUAAUUAUGAUUUUCCAAAGUUUCUAUCCAGAAAGAAGCUUUGUGAAGGACGUGCAAGCUAGGCAUAUCCAAAUAAGUUGCCCUCUUGCAUGGUCCCUCAUAUCAUCAUAUCAUAGCCCUCCACCAAAGUAGAGCUCAUGUCAUGCCUCCAUGUGAGCUCAUCUUCAAUCCUUUGAUUCUGUCCAAAUUUCAGUUUGUGAAGCAAGUAUAUUUUAUCUUGCUCCAUUAUGGCUGUCAAUUUUUCUAGGCCCUCUAUUAUCCAUAUAACCAACGUCCACCCAUCUUGGGCAUGGUUCAUCAAGCCAUUAUUCCUCUAGAAUUUUUGCAAGUUUCUAUCCAGAGGAGAUGUUUGUGAAGCAAGGGCCAGUUUGGCUUGGCCAAUUGGUAUGAGACAUUUUGAGCUUCUUCAUAGGACCAAAUGACUCCGCCUUGCCCAAUUUGAGCUCAAUUUGACACUCCACGUGAGUGCACCUUCCUGAUCAUGUUUCUCGACCAGAUUAUGCAGUUGCAAAGCAAGUGCAUUAAAUCUUGGUCCAUUUCCUGCCAAACUCCCCAGUAUGGUAGUACUUCCUAACCCAAACACCCCAGACAACUCAUUUGGCUCUAAUCUCACCUCAGUUGAUCACUGUUUCAUGAUCAAGUUUACUGUAGUAAACUUCAGAGGGUUCUUACCAUUUAACCAGAGCGUGUUUCAUCAAUAUACCACCACAGUUGAAACCUAUCUUGUAAGGACUAUCAGCUAGACAACGUUUUGGGUGCUGUAGAGCAUUGAAAGCCCUGGUUCACGUGGUGACUACGACGAUGGCAUGCCUGUGCACGCGCUCUGUGCGUAGUGGCCGCGUCCAAGGCACCGUUCUGCUUCGUCCGCUUCCCCCUCGUCGUCUUAGCACGCGUGAGCAUGUCCAUUGUCUUCCUCUCGUCGUCGUUGAUCACCUGGACCCUGCUCCCCCUCCGGCAGCUUCCUCACCGCCGCAAGCCGCCGCGUGCCCACGGGCGCACAGUGGCGGUUUGGCUCGGUUCGUCACCGUCGUCAUCCUCCCUGCGCUCCCUUGGCCGCCUCUUCCCCUUGAGCUUUCUCCCUGUGCCUCCAUCAUCGUCUACCUCUGAGCUCAUACGCGUGGGCACGCAUCCGGGGUGCUGGACACGUGUCCGCGACGGCGCCAGCAUGGCACACUCCUCCCCUUGGCUAUUUAAGCAGCCCCAGGCACCCUCGACCUCACCAAGCCACUCCUCGACCUCCUAGGACCCCGCCCCACUACUCUCCUGAGCCCAUAGAGCUCUCUGCUUCCCUCCAUGGCCGCCGUGCCCGCCUCGGCCUCGGCCUAAAUUCGCUCAACGCCGAGCUCUUCCCUCCAUCACUCCACCACCAGAGACCUCCAUCCUCACCCCAGAGCCACCCCAGCGCCUCUCCUCCUCCCGUGGCCGUUUGCCACGCACUCCCCGGAGGCCGUAGCUCUCCUCUGCCGCGGCUCCCUGUUCCGUCUGCUCCACUGUUUUUUGGCGUGGGUAGAUCGCUCACUCGGGUGCAUCUCGUCUCCCUGAGCUCGUCGGUGUGCUACACGGCUUAGGGGAUGGCCGGAGUCGGCCGGGCAAGCGCCGGCGCCGGCGUCCCCUCCUCUGCCUUGCGCGCGGCGUCGGGGAAGGAAAAAGGAGGACCGGGAGGAGGUAGUUGACCGCGCGUGGACCCCGCGGCCCCACGCGUCAGUGGCUCGGUAAGCCGGCCUCGCCUUUGCCAUGCUGGAUAAGUGGAGGCGUAAUCCACUAGGUUACGUCUUCGCUUAUCGAAAUCGUACUUCUCUUCGAGCUCAGCCCAGAAUGCGUUUUCACUUCUGGAAAAUGUAUUUCCUUCUAAUACGCUUUCUGUUUUUCUGUCCAGGCCCUCUUUGAAAAUAUUUUCAUUACAGAUAGGUCCCUGGCAGAAAACACUUCAUAUCUUUUUGCUCCCAACUCCAAAUAAGGUGAUUCCAAAGCCCACGUCUUCGUUUCGUCGAGCCCGUUCUGUUGGUAUCAUUUUCACCAUGUGUUAACAUUCUGAAAAUGACCAUUUUUCCCUUGCGCUUAAUCAGCCCCUUUCGAGAGAGAACGUUUUUCGGUAAUUCUUUCCGUGAGCUUCUCGCACUCCUUCCCGGUGAUUUCUUCCACCCCAGGCAAGCCACAAUACCCACUUGCAUGAUAGUCAUGCAAUAGCCAUGGUUUUUAACUUGAAUAUUUAUUAAAUGAUUGCUUGUUUAAAAUAUGGUUAUCGUUGUUUCGGUAAUGCUUCUGGGUUAGUGCUUACUUGCUUGCUAUGUUGUUAUGCACCUGGUUAUCAUGCCCUGCUAGUUGCUAGUAUUACUUUCAUAUUGACAUGCUUGAUAGUAGUACAUGUUGGGUUGGUCAUGUUCUUUGGUGCAUGACUAACCUCGGUUACCGAGUAUUGUUAAUAUGCAUUGUUCCUUUGCUGUUAGUUGGUUAAGUGUUACUCGGUAAUGUUAUUGAUGAUUUCUCGCAUGGUAUUUUGGUUGAUGCUAGUGGUCAUGUUAUGCUAUGAGUAGUGUUGCACUUGUAAUAUUUAUGCUCGUCAUUAUGCCAGGUUCAGUUGGAGAUUAUUCAUAGUUGAUAUGGUGGAUAGUUAUGUUUUACCCUCAUGCUUAUGUUGAUAUCAUCCUCAUGCAUUGUCCUUGCAUCAUGUUAUUUUAUCAUGGCUCAGCAUAUUGCAUUCAAGUUUAACCGGAUUAAAUUGAACUUGAACAACUGUUGGCCGAGUCAUGGUGCCACCAUAUCGAAACUGACCAGUGCAACCACGCUUACCUUUAUGGGAAUGUCCUAACUGGGUCUAUUGUCAUGCCUCUCGCCGGUGCCUCCAACGAGGGAAGGUUAUGGGCGCGCGCUACCCUGAUCAGGUAGGCGGACAUAACCUUGUGUGCCCGUUGUUGUUAUUAUGGAUCUGGUCCCCGUGAGGGACGUUUUGGCCACGACAGUGGUCGUUGUGUCUUUGGUAGACACGGGGCCACCCAGGACUAGCCCAGUGGGGAGUGAGUCGGAGUGGCCGGGAGAGUGUCAUGGCAGUAGAUCGGUUUUGUUGGAACGCCGUUGGUCCACCCGAAUGGGAGUGCGAGGCCAUGGGUUCCGUAGUGUGGGUACAGUGUACUAACCUCUGUAGAGUGUAUAUUAAAUCUAUCGAUAGCCGUGCCCGCGGAUAAGGGCCCAGUUCGUGUCGGUCACACCGCGAGUCAAUAGUAUUAAAAAUAAUGUGCUUAAUAACAACUCCGGUUCGAUGAUGAGAUAAGUUGGUUGUGAUCGCCGAAAAGAUCACCGUUUGAGACCAAGUGUUGGACAUGGUUGUGAUCGCCGGAAUGAUCACCGUGGUAUCGAGGAUACCGAGUUGUUGGAUAUCCGGGAUGUUGUGCGAGAAUCGUGGGUAAAGAUCAAGCUCCUUGUGGUCAUUUGAUGAUUACUACGGUAUUGUUUAUACCAAGCUUGAUUUGAUCCUGAGAUGUUCGUAUGAUGGUUACGAGGUAACCCGAGCAGAAUAAAUAGUGCAUAUAGUGUCAUCAUGUUGCAUGCUAGUAUCGUCAGAUUCAUAUGUUCAUGCCAUGCUCAUGUUGUUCUAGCUGUAUCAUGUUCAUGUUGCUCAUGUCAUGUUGUUAUGAGGAUCUCAUGUUAAUUCCUGCUUAACCUGUAAAUGCCAUGCUGAUGUUUGUCUUGAAUGCUUCUGGUUAUUGUGAGCUUGCAAGUACAUUCAAUGUACUGACCUAGCGUGUCAUGCCAGCUUGCAGGUCGUGCCUGGAUUGGUUGCUUGUUUGGUGUUGUUCCUCUGUUCGCGAGCUAGGAUAAACGUUCCAGCCAGAGUCCCUGCGGAUUGGAGUCCAUCAUCGUCGUUCGUUGUUCCGCUGCCAGUAGUUGUUCCGCUGCCUCAACUUGUUAUGCUGCUUGCAUAGAGAAAUUGAGGAUGGCGUAGUGUCACCGUACCGAUGUUAUUCAUUGUAAUAUCGGAGACAUUGUAUUCAUAUUCGUGUAUAAAUAGAAAGCUGGUUUGUUCUAUGCUAAGUAGUGCCGUAUUCCAGAAGACUUCAACUCGAUCUCUGGGCUGGAAAAUGGGGCGUUCCGGUUUUCUCUGAGCCGGGGUGCCACAGGCUUGGUAUCAGAGCAGGUCUGGCUGUAGGAUGCCUUAGCCCGCGCGAACGUUAGAAAGCGGUAGUAUAGACCCCAGUUGGUUUGUUGCACUUGAUUGUUGCAUUUGUUUGUCGCAUAGCAUGCAUAUAGAUUAUUAUUUUGUCACUAACGGUUGAUCUUGUGAGUGUAGGAGGCAUCGUUUUCGGUCCCCCGCCUGCACCCCCCUUCUUAGGAUGUCUGCUCUUUGGUGUUCGGCGUCAUCUCUGUCCCAGCAGAGUGAUGCCCUGGUACCCAGAGUUCCAGGCACCAUUUGCAGGAGUUAUGCUCAGGUAUCGCGUAUAUUUUUCCGCCACCCACCCAUAUUAUUUCGGUGAUAGACUUGUUUCUAUCCCGAAUCAUGCCAUCCAUCUCGUCCCUCUGUCAACCCUUACUGAUCUUGGUUAUCAAAAAAAGGGCAAUGCCAGCAAGCCUUGUUUUUCCACCGCUACCCUACCCAGUCAUUCUAUUCUUUGGACGCGUACGAAUCCCUUUCGUACGCUUGAUGAUGAUGUGGUCGUGACUCGCUACUUGAUCAUCAAGUCCGUCCUCACCUGUGUAUCCAUCCAGAUCCAGCCACUGUUCAGCUAGUGCUUGGUGUAGCUUCGGUUACGCCAACUCCUUCCACACAUGGAUAUAAUUUUCGUGCACACCGCCACAGCAUAUUAGACCGUAAUACCGGAGUUUCCGCGCGAUUUGUGUGCUUAGGUGUGCAUGCAUAUUAUGGUGUGAGUAGCAGUAAUAUGUGAUGAUUGCUUGAUUAAUUAUAUUAGUAGUAUGCUUGUGUGAUUUUGUUUUAGUCGUUUCUUUUGGCCUCCGGUGUUACAAAUUUUCCCCUAUAAAGUUGCUCGUCAGCCGACACCGGACCCGAAGAGUCAGCAAGAAAUACAUAUAUUUGGAAACUCAGCUAAACAGAAUGGAAUUGUCAGCAAACUGUAGUGAAAUUGGAAAUAGCUCGUCUGAAUACAAAAGAAAUCCUGGAUGGAAUGUCAGUAUAAAGUUUGCAUUAACGUGUACUCCUCACAACAGUAUGGAAUUAUCAGCCGACUGCAUUCAGAUUGGGGGAUAUCUGAUCAUGUUACUGAGUGUCAAGUCUCUCUCAACGUGCACUCCUCAUAGCCGAAAUGAUCAAAUCAGCAAGAAGAUAAAAUUGUGUGCAAGGUUGAAAAAAUAUUAUCAAAGGUAUGGCUCAGAAACAAGUUUAAUUUUUCAUUGAGGAUGAUUUUGGAACCCGAUGUACCUGGAAGCAAGCAAAAAUAUGGCAUGUACUCAGAAAGGAGGAUAGUCCUGCAAACCCCCGUUUCAUACAAGAAAUCAAUAAAAAAAUUAAGAUGGUUAUAUAUGUGGAAAUCGGUCCGCAUAUCACAAUAAGAAGCUUCUGGUGUAAGCAAACCAAUCUUCCCUCGCAAGAUACCCGAGAAGCUUCCAAGGCAAGAUUCAUCUAUCUUCCUUAGUAUGAUACAUGGAUGAUUUCCAGUACAAGGUACUCUGCCUUCUUCAGUAAGCAACCACAAAAGCUUCGGCAUAAGGUACUGAGUCUUUCCCCAGCAAAGUCUUUAAGGGGGUAAGCUUCUGAAGCACGAUACCCAGUCUUCUUCAGCAAGCUGACCGAUGAAAGUUUCGAGCACAAGCCAGCCAAUCUUCCUCAGUAAGACAUUGGUACAAGGUAGUACGCUGUGAAUUGAUAGCAUAUGGCAGUGAAUCCCAAGAAUCAGAUCCACAACAUUUUGGUCAGAAGCAAGAAUCAGUCAGAAUACACGUCUGUCUCAGGAAUCAGAUUCUCAUAUAUAUGCGGUGAGCAUACCACCAAGAUCUUACAAGUCACUCGGAUGAGGAUCUGACAACCACGUGAGGAUGGUUAAGAGAAGAAAGCCAGUAUACACCGCAGUGUGACAAAGGAUUAUGAGGAUUGACGACAUCAAUGAGCUCAAUGCAAGUACCUGUGAACCUGGAAAAUGAUCCUGAUGACCCCUUGUCCCCUUUUUCUCCAAUGAUGGCACCGCGCCUGUGGUCUAAGCUGUUUGUAGCUAUCCGAGGUGGAUGCCGAUUUUUAUUUCUCUCUUCAACGACUGUCACGAGUUCUGAGUUGCUUUUUGGCCGUCUCGUACAUAUGUUGAGUUUCUUUUUCUGAAAGUAGCCCUAUAGCUACUUUUUGGCUAUUUUAGGGAGCUGCCACCUUCUUCUUAUCAACCCGGUCUCAUGUUCUGAGCUGCUUUUCGGCCGUCUUGAGCCGUGGUUGAGUUUUUUCAGUAAUGUCCCAGAUCUGAGUUGUAAAGACCGUUCUGGUGGCUACUGAUUUAUUUGCCAAUUUCUUGCAAAGGUUCGGAUGAUCAUUUUCCUGCGGUCAGAACUUGAGGGGUGUUGAACCUGCCAUUUAAUUUUGUACCCUGUCAGAAAAAUGAGGAUAAGCUGCUAUUGCCGAAAAAUUGCACCGACAGUACCUAUGGUGAUACGAAGAAGCAAUAUGAUCCAGCUCUUUCAGCCAAGGAUCCAGGCCAAGAAAACAAUAAUGAAGGAGCAAGACCUGUGAUGCAGGUAUGAAAAUUGUUGCAAGACCCGCGUGGUGCAGAACCACCGUCAGUCAAGUCUGUAGAUAUUAUCAUACAGGUCAAACGCUUAUGCUAGCCACGACAGGCGACAAUCAAAUAUUUGGUACGGAUCCGAUACUCAAGAUAGUGGAACCAGUUAAGAUGAUUCAGAAACUUCCGCGAUAAGCCAUAAUCUGUCAGGAAAGCAGUUAUGACCCAUCUCACUGUUUGGAGCCCGAAGGACCUGCAUUUAGUGGAGAAACCCAAUGCAAGGAGUUAGAGCUUGGGUGUCCACUAGAAAAAAAAUCUAAUCACCACUUUAUGAAAGAUUGUCAGUGUCGGAUGACAUACCCAACGGAAAUCACUCUCGGAUUAGUGAGACGGGCCUGUAUUUCAGUAUGAUAACAAAUCACACAUAGCUAAGUCAGCAGAUCUUAAAAGAAAUUGGAGCAUGUAUGAGCAUGAACAAGCAAGGUAAGAUCUGUCAGAAUAUGGAUAUAUUAAAGCAAACCACCCCAGGGCCAGUCAGAUAAAAAUUUAGUGGGAACAAAAAUAAGAAAAAGGAUACCCGAGUUGGAAACGGUUUCCUUAAGUCAGUAUCUUCAUACUUGUUCCCUAAGCAACCAAAUCUCGAGGAUGAGAUUUCUUUAAGGGGGUAAGGUUUGUGACAGCCUGAUUUUUGGCCCUUUCUUUUUCUUUUGUUUUUCUGAGGUUUUUGCCUGAGAUUUCCUUUUUCCGUGGCUAUGUAGUGUGGAAACGGAAGAAGAUGAACUCUUCUUUGCUUCAAGAGUGGCUUGUCAUACCCAAAUCCUUCCCUAGACCCUGUCAUUUUCAUCCUAGCCCAAAUCCCAAUAUUCUUUUUAUUGGGAAUAUUCCUUUUCUAUUAAAGGAAUAACUCAAAUUGCCCUAGGUUGUGAAGCAACCUUUAUUCCAUCACUCCUAAAAUUCCCAAAUAAUUCUCAUAAAUUGUUUGGGUAAUACCUUUCCCAAAUAUGGCAAAAUAUUUCAUUUGUCAUGUUUAUCAUCAUGCUCAAAUAAUUAAUUUCAUAUUCUGCCCUAAAUGGCACGUUGUGAAGCAAGUGCUAUUUUCAUUUUCCCAAUUGACCUCAAACUCCUUGGAUACCUUUUCCUGUCCAUAUCAUUGCCACAUGCCAAAAUGCAACCUCAUUUGCCUACUAAUUAUUUAAUUAUGAUUUUCCAAAGUUUCUAUCCAGAAAGAAGCUUUGUGAAGGAGGUGCAAGCUAGGAAUAUCCAAAUGAGUGGCCCUUUUGCAUGGUCCCUCAUAUCAUCAUAUCAUAGCCCUCCACCAAAGUAGAGCUCAUGUCAUGCCUCCAUGUGAGCUCAUCUUCAAUCCUUUGGUUUUGUCCAAAAU